GAUAAUCUGCCCUUCAGCGGGGAAUAACCCAUCGAAAGGUGGGCUAAUACCCUACUGUUUCUGCCUCGGCAGGAUAGUCAAAGACGGCCUCUGUUUAAGCACUGAAGGAUGAGUCCGCGUACCAUUAGCUAGUUGGUAGGGAUUACCAAGGCUGCGAUGGUUAGCUGGUCUGAGAGGAUGAUCAGACGAACUGAGACACGGUCCAGACUCCUACGGGAGGCAGCAGUGAAAGCGCAAUGGGGGCAACCCUGACGCAGCAACGCCGCGUGAUGAGGACUUCGGAUCGUAAAGCUCUGUCGGGUGGGAAGAAACGUGGAGGUAGCUUUCAUACUUGACGGUACCACCAAAGGAAGCACCCUAACUCGCCAGCAGCCGCGGUAAUACGGGGGGUGCAAGCGUUGCGGAAUCAGCGUAAAGGGCGUGUAGGCGGCUUGGUAAGUCAGAUGUGA
rnacentral:rRNA from 1 species